rnacentral:rRNA from 1 species
AUGAUCACCCUUGUUCCGGAUCAGCAGCUUCCGCCCUCACUGGUGGUUACCGUCGAGGUCAUUCGGGCCGAGCUGUCAGUGUACAUUGGUGAGUACAGAGACAGCGCCUUCUCCUGGGAGGUCACUGAGACGGUACCGUUGGUCUUCUUGGUGCUCUUCCCCUCUGCUGAGAUGCUCAACUUCAGCACCUGCGACCACGUCAACUUCCCCAUCAACAAGUUUAUGAUAUCGAUCCAGAAGGCGGCGGCUGAGCCAGACACGGCCCCCCCACUUGCACAGGUGUGGAUGCUCGUCUACGGGCUCCCAUGUGGGGCCAAGCGUGACCAUAUUCUCAAGGCAAUCUCAAAGCCUUUGGGAAAGCUCCUGACCGUCGAUAUGGAUUCUAUGGAGGGCGAUGGCCCAGUGCGUGUCGAGAUCCUCUGUCAGGCUCCGGGGGAUAUGGAUAGCCUGCCCCUGAUCUUCUACUUCGGCAAGAACAAGGGCAGGGCUAUCACCUACGAGCUGGACCUGGAGCCGCCCAUUGGGCGGCCGGAGGACACGCCACUGGCACCGGCGCCGGCCCCUCCCAUGGCCAGCCAGGGUGCCGAGGAUAGCCAGUCAAAGGAAAGUUCCGCGGAGUUGGGGGAUGGGCCUCCGCCUUCGGCGUCGAUUGCGGGCCCGCCUACUGUCGGUGGGAACGACACCUAUGGGAUCACUGGGAUCCCUUCUACGGUUGGCGGGCGCGGGGUUGUGCAAAGAGCGGGUCUGGCUGUCAGCACAAGGAUCGUUUACCCAGGUUCGGGCCGCGAGGGUGCGUAA